GUUACGCCAACUAGUGGAUGACUAGGCUCAAGCGCUGAAUAAGGACGUGGCAAGCUGCGAUAAGCCUUGGCGAGACGCACGCGGUCUUUGAACCAAGGAUGUCUGAAUAAUUCAGUAAUGAAUGGUAACUCCGCGAACUGAAGCAUCUAAGUAGCGGAAGGAAAAGAAAUCAAUUGAGAUUCCGUGAGUAGGGGCGACCGAAACCGGAUUAGAGCGAACCGAAUCUCUCCCAGUAAUGGGGGUAGAGGUGUGGUGUGAGUAGUAUGCUUUUUGCACGAAGAGAAGUGCCCUGGAAUGGGUUACCGUAGAGAGUGAUAGUCUCGUAUUUGAAGUGCAAGGAGUUGAAUUCACGAGCGAGUACCGUGCAUUUGUAUGUGCGCGGGAAGGUGGGAGGAUUAACUUCCAACUCUAAACACGUCUUGAGACCGAUAGAGAACUAGUACCGCGAGGGAAGGUUGAAAAGCACCCUUAAUAGGGGUUGAAAAGCGCCUGAAACUAGUUGGUUAUGGACGAGGCUCGGCAUGAAAGGAUAGGUUAUUGAUGUUUUGCAUCGUGAGGUGUGAAAAUAAUGUAACUCUCAGUGUCGGGUCGUUCGUCGUGAAGCACGAGCGAGGGAAUUUGUUGUAGUGGCGAGGAUAAGUGUUUUCAAGCACGUAUCCGUAGCGAAAGCGAAUGUCGCGCAGUUUUUACGAGGCGACGAGUUUGAAGCUCUAGUCACUAUAGCCAGACCUGAAACCAAGUGAACUAGUCCUUAGCAGGUUGAAGCUCUCAUCCAAGAGAGUGGAGGACCGCUACUAGUGAUAGUCUAACUUCUUAGGUGACUUUGGACUAGGCGUAAUAAGCGAACCGAACUUGGUGAUAGCAGGCUCCUCCUGAAAAACCUCUGAGGGUUGCCUCGCAGGAGAAGGAACGUGGUGUAGAGAUACUGGUUAAGGGAUGUUGCCUCGAGAGGGGUAGUCUCUUUCCCAAACUCCGAAGCUACGUUCUUCUAGGAUUGCGGGAGUAGGGGCGUAGGCGUAAGGUUUAUGUCCGUAAGGGUAAGAACCCAGCUCUGUGUUAAGGCCCUUAAAUGUUGGUUAAGUGUUAGUAAAGCUAGUCGUUUCCCUAAAACAGUGGGGAGGUAGGCUUAGAAGCAGCCAUCCUUCAAAGAAAGCGUAACAGCUCACCCACCUAGGUAGAUGGCGGCGAAGAUGAUCGGGGCUCAAACCAACUGCCGAUACACAGAAGAUUUUUCAGUUGAAAGAUUCCUUGUAAGGAGGUGCGCGGAUGUCCAAGAAGUAUCUACGUGAGUAGGUAUGGAGAUUUUCGCGAUAUGGAUCCUCGCAUUAGUAGUAACGAUAGAGUAGUGAGAAUCUACUCCGCCGAAAGGACCAGGGUUUCUUAGCGCUAAUCAUUAGCUAAGAGUUAGUCGGUCCUAACUUACUUCAUAACAUGACGGUAAGGAAAGGGAAACACGUUCAUAGUCGUGUACUUUGUGCAUAAGUUCGGUGACGAAAGACAGAUUUUUGACACAUUGGGCUAGUUGGAGUCUCGCCUUCGCGAGAUUUAACGAGAAUAAUUCUAUGGAGAGGCAUAAUGUCGAGAAGUAGAAUAAGCUAGGAUGAGCAGCAAUGUUUCGACAAGGCCUGGUGUCCAUGAAAAAAGAAUUUGUAUUGAUUGUACAAAACCGUACCAAGAACCGAGAAAGGUGCUCCUGGUUGAAAAGACUAAGGCGUAUUGGGGGAAUUGACCUAAGGGAAUUCGGCAUAUUAGCCAUGUAUCUUCGGUAUAAGUGGUGCCUGCAUAGGAAUAUGCAGGUUGCAAUAACUCGAGGAGUCCGACUGUUUAACAAAAACACAGGUCCCUGCUACCCAGCAAUGGUGUGUAUAGGGGCUGACUUCUGCUCACUGCAAGUAGGUUAAAAUCUGUUCCAACGGAUCUAAGCCCUUGUGAAGAGCGGGCCUAACUCUGAGGCUCUCACGGUAGCGUAAUACCUUGCCGUUUUAUUGGCGGCUUGCACCAAGGAAGCAACGAGAUUCCUACUGUCCCUAGGUUGAGCCCAAUGAACAUACUUCGCUGUGUAUAUGCUGCGGAACUCCAAUGGGAUGAGAAGACCCCACGGAGGUUUACUACAGCCUGAUGUUGUGAUGUAGUUUUGUAUGUAUAGAGUAAUUGGGAGUCUUCGAAGCAAUUUCGUCAGGAAUUGUGGAGACAAAAGUGUAACACCAAUCAUAUGAAAAUACAUUGCUUACCUCACAAGGGGACAGCAUUUGGUGGGUAGUUUGGCUGGGGCGGCACGCUCCUGAAAAGAUAUCAGGAGCGCCCAAAGGUCUGCUCAAUCGAGUCGGAAAUUCGAUGUAGAGUGCAAGAGCAAAAGCAGGCUUAACUAUGUUUUUAAUAGCACAAAACGUAGGAAGGAAACUUGGGUCUAGCGAACGCUAGUGCGCCACUUAAUAGGGCCCUAGUCUUACAAUGAACUUAUCCUGGGAGUAAUUGAGUUGUCGCGGGUAAGAGUUCACAUCGACCCCGCGGUUUGCUACCUCGCCGUCGUCUCUUGGCAUCCUGGCUGUGCAUGAGCAGCCAAGGGUGGAGGGGUUUACUCAUUAAAGCCGAACGUUAGUUGGGUUAAGAACGGUGCGAGCCAGUUUGGUUACUAUCUGUUGGAGUUGCUGAUUGAUUGAGGGGUAGAUGUCACGAGUACGAGAGGAACAUGACGUCGUAGCCUCUGGUGUGCCAGUUGUUCGAAAGAGCAUCGCUGGGUAGCUACGCUAUUUUGGAUAAGAGCUGAAUGCAUCUAAGCACGAAGCCAUCCCUGAAAAUAAUCAAUCACUCACGAACAAUCCCCUAAA
rnacentral:rRNA from 1 species